CUUCCUAUGGGAAUGUGAAGUCAGUAACUGUGAAUGUGCAAAAACAGAUGAACAGACAAAUCUGCAGUCAAAAAACCGAGCUGUACUUUUACAGUCAGAGACUGUUACGUUUUGUUGUCCCACUACUGCACUUGGUCUGUAUUAUAAACGUCAAUACAUCAAAUUAUUAAUAAUUAAACAAACUUUUUAUAUGACAUGAAUAAAAAGUCAUUUUAUUUGAUUUAUUCAAGUUUUCACCAAUUAUCCCUAAUCCACAUACAUUGUUUGUUUUUCUUCCACUCAACUUUCCAUUCAAAUGCUUGGAUGUUUUUUUAAUAUUUAACCAGUAUGUAAACUGGUUUAAACUGCAUUCCUCAUUUGUCUGUCUGUCCUCAUUCUUGUGUUGCAUUUAUUUGAGGUAGUUUAACUCUUGUAACGACAAUUAUCAGUCUUAUUGUAAACCUCAGCUGAGCUUCAGUUAUGUCAGACAGUUUAAAAGAUGCCCCAUCAUGGCUUCUCAAAAUAAAUGUGUGCUGAUAAUAUCUGAUUUGGUUCUGGUUUCAUUCGUCUGCUUCUUUUCGGACUCUUUCCGGCAACCAACCAGCUCAAACAUGAACAGUACUUUGCUGUCUGAAUGACAGAAAAUCCUGAGGAUGUUUAGAUGUAAAUUCAUUACUUUUAGCUUACAUGGACUUAGUUAAUAUGCACAAUAAUGACCUGAAGCACACAAGGAGGCCCCAUCCAAAUGGGUUAAGAACUAAAUGAAGUUAAAACAAUUCUGCUGUAUUUCCCCCAGAAUGACAGUAAAGACAAAAACUAAUUGACUUAGGACUCCUAAGUCAACUCUCCUAAGUUAGGAGACUAUUAGUUUUCUGCACAAGGUCAGAAUGGUUUGGAAAAUAUUUUCCUUUAAUAAAUGAACUCAUGAUUUAAAAACUGAAAUUAGUAUUUGCUCAGAUUAUCUAUCUCUAGUAACCAGAAACAUCUUAAAGACAUUAUUUGGCCUUUAAAGCUCAGCUAUGGUUUUCUAAAGGUAAACAUCUUCUGCAUCACCAUUAUUUUUGCAAUGCUUGAUGUUAAAAAGUUGCAAAAAUUACUUUGAAAAUGAAAUUAAUUGCUUAAAGACAGUCUAAAGUCAAUGUGGAAGGGAAAGGUCUAUAAUCAAUUAGACCAAAACUGCAAUAGUGAAAGUGAUGCAGGUACAACAUAUACAUCUGGCGUUUUUAAUCAAAGUAGUAAAGUGAGAAUAACAUCAGUCCUGCAGGUCGUCUUGUUGGGCCUGUUUGAGCCAAAACAUUCUGGUGUGAAUAAUAAAAGUGAAGCACAGACAGAACGUUUCCUCCCUGUUUGGUUUAGCAGCCUGUGAAUGUCCCUCACAACACAGCAGCAUGUGGGAAAAUUCAUUUCAUCACUAUAAAGGAAUGAUGAAGUGAUGUCUCACUCCCCGUUGGGAAACAUUUGCUCGGAUUUAGAUCAGGACCUCUGGAAACAGGAGGGAUUGAUUCUAAUCCGUGAGAUCCAUGAGCAAAAAGAGACCAGUUGUUCUGGGAACAGUUCUCGUGUUUGGAGAACGCGUCUGAAGGGGUGAAACUUUCCUAAAAUGUUCCUGUGAAUGAAAAAAUAAACUUCUUGAAAAAUAAAUUACUUCCAAGCCUGCUAACUUGAAUAUUGGGAUUUUUUUGAGAAAAAUUUCUAGAGAAAAUCUGAGAAGCAUACUCAAAAUAUCUGAGUUUUUUGGGGGGAAAUUUAGUCUUUUUUCUAACUACAAUUACACUAAUACUAAUGCUAAUCCACUCAGCUAAUGCGGGGAUAAAGAUGUUGGAGAGCAGUGGAUUGACCACAGCGCCCCCUGGUGGUUUAAGCUUAUACUAAACGCCUGCACUAGAGAAAACAAGGUCAAACUUUGGAUAUAUGAUCAAUUAAAACGACAGUGAACAAAACUGAGGACUUUUAUAAUUAUUAAAACAAUCUGUGUUUGUCAAUAACUAGGAACUCCAAGCUAAACUACAAGCUGGAUUGAUCCAGAUAAGAUAAAUGCUGAUGGUCUUCAAAAAGGUUUAUUUGUUGCAUCUUCUUAGGCUCCAAUCAGCUAACAGUAUUCCAGUACUUGUAGAGGAGAAAGAGGAAGGCAGCCAGGAGAACAGCAGAGAGGAUGUGUCUGGAUGACUUGAAAAACAAGAUGCCUUGGUUCAGUGUGCACACAAACACCAAGAUGGUCGACAUGACAACAAGCAGCAAUCUGAUCAGCUUUUCGAGGAUAAUCUGUGCUAUGCUGUCUUCGUGUCUCACAAUAUCCAUCUCUUGCUGCUGCUGCAGCUCCAUCUUCAGGAGAUGGCUCUGGCAUUUUUCCAGCGCCUCCUACAGAACAGAAAAGAUAAGAUAAAGUGGAAAUAACAUUGUUGGAAUGAAAUCUGGUGCUGAACGCUAAAUUGAUAAUAUUGCAAUAGUUGCAUUAUCAAUGUCUAAUACGUCUGAUAAAAUUCUCAAUACUUUCACAGAUCAGAACCGCAUGGAUCUGGAAAGGCUUUUAGCUCAGCUAGGUGAGUGGAAUCAACUAACUCACUCACUCUUUGGUUGCCUAGCAACAACCUGUCGAGUAACUUGCACAGCAACAGUUUCAUGCUGUGCCUCAAAACUGCUUAAAAAUAAAACACAAUGUUGUGGAACGAAAACUGUGGAUAAAACAGAAACGAUCACAUCACCAGUUUGGCAUAUUUCAGAUAUAAAAACAACAAAUCAAUAGCUAUUAAAGUCGACUAACAUAUCAUGAUAAGUUUUUCAGUCAUAUUGGGACCCCAUGAAAAAUUAUUGUAGAAAAAGCUUCAAAGCAUAUUCAUCUUUUACUGGAGCAUCAAAAUCUCAAACUGAACAUGUUAGAAAUAUCAAGUGUUUAAUUUGAAUGGAAAUAAAACUGAAGUUAUCUGGAUCUACAGAGGAACGAUCUAGAGUCACCACACAGCUUCAGUUAUUACAACUGGAAACUAAAGGUCAGCCUUCAGUCUGGGUGUGGUGAUGGACUCAGACCUGAACAUUCAGAGCAACAUAAAGACAGUUACAAAGUCAGACUUCUAACACCUGAAGAACAUUUCCAGGAUUAAAGCAAGAUGUGAUUCUUUGAGCAUAAAUACCAUGUACAACAUAAGAGUCUCCCGUAGGGAAUUAAAGGUACAUUUUUAAAGAAAAAGUUGGAAUUUUCAGAAAAUCUGGAGUAUUAAGGCAGGAAGUGAAACAUGGUUCUCAGUGAUGCAUGAAAACCUUAACUGGUUGCUUACAGAAAACUCCUCUGCUUUGCUGUUAUACCGAAUGUCAAUGAUUUUCUUUGUGCUGCUUAUCUCCUCUUUCAAGUUCGACGUUUCCCUCUGAUGGAGCUCAGUCAGGUAAGCGAGUUCCCGCUCCAAACCAUUCAGCCUGCCAACCCAAAACACCGCAUCACGAAAACAAGUCAGAACUCUGAAUUAUGAGCGCAUGCAGCAUCUGGUUGUGGUCCCGCUGGUACUCGGUUCUCAAGGUUUUCAGGGAUUUCUCGAGACUUCACAGUUUCCCUGGAAGAAGACCUGCUUCUGGUGCUGCUUGCCUGGAGCUUGUCUACAGAAGAUGAGGAUGACGAGUGCCUCCGGCCUCUAGCUUCACCUUCGUGGGUUUCAUGCAUGUCCUUCACUCUGCCAGACUUACGGAUGGAGAAGGAGAAUUUCACUGAUUUAAAUUUGUCUGUUAAAAAUAAAACGCCUCCAAAUGCAUCAGCUUGUGUUGAGGGAUAAAUUUGUGUGAUUCUUGAAUUGGAGUCAGGAGCCGCACAAAAUCAGUCCACCGGCCAAUAAAGGCCCCCGCGCCCCACUUUGGACACCCUGGUAUAGAUUUGAGUAAUUUUGUUGCCCCUUUCAUCCCCCCAGAUUUUCUUAGUUUGUUCCAAAAAAUAAUAAGAUGCUUUUAUUUUGAUAAUCCGGUGUUGAAGUCCUUCUUCACGUUAUUUAAAUGUGUUUAAUAUUAAUUAAUCUGCACAAUAUAGUGUUUAAUUAAAAAAAUUCAGCUCUUUUUUAUAGCAUCAAUCAGACAUGCUCAGCAUCUCCGUUUUGAAUCGUUUCCACCAACAAACAAAAACGGAUCUGGAGACGAAAAUGAGAAAAGCUGAACUGAAUUAUGAUUUCACUCACCUGGCUUCAAACCGGAUCAUCCGAAACGGGUCAGGGUUCGGAAAUGGAUCAUAGUUUGCGCCACCUGACUGACGCCGCUGAACUGUUGAACUACAGCCACGUUGCUAGGCAACAAAUUGUUCGAGUUACAGUUGGAAAAAGGCGAUUUAUUGCUAUAAAGGAUCAUUUUUAGCAGAAGAACAUUGAAAAAGGAUUUCUAACACACAUGUCUACUUUUCUGAAUAAAGAAAUGGAAAAACAAAAAUAAUCGAGCCUUUGAGGAGCACAGGUAGGGAAAUGAAAUCCAGGUGUUAAAAUAAUGUGUCACAAGUAAACAUGGGAAGUGACGUGUUAAUUAAAAAAAACAGCUAAAUGAAGAAAAUGAGAGCAGAUUUUAAACCAACUUCAGGACCGUAUUUUUUCCAAGGAUUAAAUCUUUUCCUGAAAUAAUGAGGCAAAAAAGACCGACGGCCACUUCCUGUCCCCACAUUAAUAAUUUCUUUUACAAUAAUGUGAAUAAUUUUGGAAGUAUUGCUCAAUUUAUUGAACUUAAAUUCUGUAAAGUUAGAUUACAUUUCAAUCUUCUCCUUCCUUUUGUUUUCCAGAUUUUUUGAAUCGAGACUCUUCAGAUUUGUAUAUUUUGUCGCCCUCUGCUGGUGCUUUAGGAGGAUUGGU